UUGUUGCAGUUAAAGCUCGUAGUUGGAUUUCGGAAGGUCCUUAGUAAUCCGCCCCUUCGGGGAGCGGGUUACUGGCCUCCUAUGUUCCUAACGGUCCUCAUCCGCGAGGGUGGGGAAUCAACCGCUAGGAUCGUUUACUUUGAGGAAAUUAGAGUGUUCAAAGCAGGCGUAACUCGCCUCCGAAUACGUUAGCAUGGGAUAAUGGAAUACGACUUCGGUCUUGUUUCGUUGGUUUCGCUUGGCUGAAGUAAUGAUUGAUAGGGACAGUUGGGGGCAUUAGUAUUUAGUUGUCAGAGGUGAAAUUCUAGGAUUUACUAAAGACUGACCAAUGCGAAAGCAUUUGCCAAGGAUGUUUUCAUUAAUCAAGAACGAAAGUAGGGGGAUCGAAGACGAUCAGAUACCGUCGUAGUCUCUACCGUAAACUAUGCCGACCAGGGAUCCGGAGAGUUUGCAUGGAUGACUCCCCGGGCACCUUGUGAGAAAUCAUAAGUGUUUGGGUUUUGGGGGGAGUAUGGUCGCAAGGCUGAAACUUAAAGGAAUUGACGGAAGGGCACCACCAGGAGUGGAACCUGCGGCUUAAUUUGAU
rnacentral:rRNA from 1 species